rnacentral:rRNA from 1 species
GACAGAGGAUGCAAGCGUUAUCCGGAAUGAUUGGGCGUAAAGCGUCUGUAGGUGGCUUUUUAAGUCUGCCGUCAAAUCCCAGGGCUUAACCCUGGACAGGCGGUGGAAACUACCAAGCUGGAGUACGGUGGGGGCAGAGGGAAUUUCCGGUGGAGCGGUGAAAUGCGUAGAGAUCGGAAAGAACACCAACGGCGAAGGCACUCUGCUGGGCCGACACUGACACUGAGAGACGAAAGCUAGGGGAGCGAAUGGG